GAGCCAUUUGAGAAUUGAGAAACUCCUUGAAUCUGGAGGUGUGCCUUUUCACACUUCUAUUCUAUAACCUUUUGCGUUGAUUAUGCUGCUGGCCUUGCCGAGGCAGCACGAGGUACAAAUGAAGUCAAUAGAAGGAAGGUUGAUUUGUUUGUGUGAUGGUCUGGGCUGUGUCCACAAUUUGUUGCAAUUUCUUGCAGUCUUGGAUGGAGCUGUCCAUCCCGUCACAUCCCUCCAUCCCAUCCAUUGUUGUAAGGCAUUGCAUUGGCAAGGCUGGAAGUAUUGUCAAUGAUGACUAUCACCAUGACCAUUCCCUUUUUUCUCUUGUAUCUUCCGGAGGAAUAUGCAGAAGCUUAAAAGCUCAAACAUCGAGAUGUAGGAACAGCAUUCCCCACUGCUAUCCAACUUCUGAAGCUGAAGAAGGGUCUGGACCCAAAACACCACCUAUCCAUGUUCUCCAGAGUUGCGCCUGAUCUGCUGAGUUACUCCAGUACUUUGUCUUUUUUUUCCUGAACCAAUCACCUCUUUCUCACCUGAUUCCAUUGUGCUGCCCAGGAUGCUUACUGCUUAGCACAACUGUUAUUGUACUUUAUUCUUUUAAACUAAAUGGAUUUUGCAAUACAAUCUUGCACCAUUCUGUUUUGAAGCUAGUAUAAUUACUCUUUCUUCUGUCAGCUUCGUGUGACCAGGGAAUUUCCUUGCAUACUGAUGUGUAUGACAAAAACAUAAUUAAGCUAAAUCUAUUCCAGGGAGUGGGUAGGUAAUAUGUGAAUAAUUACAUGAUGAUAGUUGAGGUAGAUUUGAUUCUGCCUCUCAACAGGCAACCAGAUCUGUUUUUGAAAGGAGGAAUGUGCAACAUUGUACUGACUUGUUAAAUUCUUCUGCUUUUUCUCCAUAUUACUGUAAAAUAUUUUCCUUUCUGGUUUGUAUCCCAUUCUGUUAUUUUAUUGAAUCUACUUCCUGAUCUUGCUUUCCAGAUACAAAUUUGACUUCCAAGUAUCCCCUGUGGUUCUUGUCAGCUUUUUGCUUCCAUUCUGUUUCUCGUCACUGAGUGGAAAUAGCUUUUAUUCCUCUUUUAAACAAAUUGAUUUUGAAUAUGCAAUGGUGCAAUACUUUAAAAGCCUAAAAUGUUGAGUCAUUUAAAGUAUUCUGAAGGAGUUUCAACAUUUGAAAAAGGAGCUGAGUUGGGAAAAUAUAUAUACAUAUAUGCAGCCCCUUUACACCAAGCAGAGAUUUUCUAUUUCAGGGUUUUGCUUUUUUAGAUUCAGGCAUUUAAAAAAAAAAAUCAUUUGGAUAAGAGGUUAAAGGAAUGUAUUGAAUUGGAAAAAUGGCUUGUGAAGGGAGGGGCAGUAAACUCCAGGACAACUUGGGUCUGAUUACAGAACAAAUAUCGGAUCUCGGAUGUCCUCGAAUAGAAAGCCUCAUCUUUGGAGCAGAUGUGGCGGAGACAGAGAAAUUGAGAUUAGGGAUGGUGUUUUUGCAAGAGACAGGAUGUGGAGGGAAGAUUGCCAGAGGUGAUGAGAUCAUAAAACACUUGGAGAUGAUGGCCUGGUGUUCAUCUGUGGGAUCAUAGACAAGGAGUAGGUAUGGGGAGGUGCCAUAGUCUGGCAGUCUGAAUUGUACCAUGCUGAGGCCAGGCCCCAGCUCUUGAACACCUCAUACCUACCCCACAGAUGAGCACCAGGCCAUCAUCUCCUGGACUUUAUCCAACCUCUGACUUCCAACCUUAUUGUUCCUUAUCCCUGCACUGACUGCUUCUAUCUCCUUUCUAAAAUCCACAAACAGGACAGCCCUGGUAGGUCCAUUGUUUAUGCCUGCUCCUGCCCCACAGAACUUGUCUCCAAAUACCACAAUUCCAUUCUAUUCCCCCCUUUGUCCAAUACCUCUGACUUACAUCUGAGACACCGCGCACACCCUUCAACUCUUCAAUAACCAUUGCCUCAUCUUUACCACAGAUGGCCAGUCCCUUUACACAUUUGUCCCCCACCAGGAAGAUCUCAAGGCAUUCUAGUUCUUCCUCGAACAGAGACCCAAUCAAUUUCCAUCUAUCAAUAUCCUCUGCCUGCUGGAACUUGUACUCACCCUCAACACCUUUUUUGACUCCUCACUUUCUUCAUGUUAAAGGUGUAGUCAUGUGCCUCAGCAGCCACUGCCUUUUUCUUGGUUACAAUGAACACUCCUUAUUCCAAAUGUAAACUGGUGUCAUCCUCCAGCUGUUCGUCCGCCACAUUGAUGACUGCAUCCUGCACUUGUGCAGAGCUCGUUGAUUUCAUUAACAUUACCACCAACUUCCACCCUGCCCUCAAAUUCACUUGAGCAAUUGCUGCCACUUCUCUCCCCUUUCUUGAUCUCUCUUUCUCCAUCACACCACAAUCAGUGAAGGGUUCUGACCUGAACCAUCACCUAUCCAUGUUCUCCAGAGAUGCUGCCCGACCAGCUGAGUUCCUCCAGCACCUUGCAUCUAACACAGUGAGGACAUUCACCAGAAGGACUGUUUCAAACCAUCUUUCACAAACAAAGUUAGGUGUGGCAAUCAACAUUGGCAUUGCCAAUGAAGCCUAAAUCUUUAAAAAAGUGAAUAAUAAAGAAUAUUAUCUUGAUCUUAAAAAAAUUCCAACGGUCUCCUCACUCAUGCUGACCAAUUAUUCUCAAAAUAUUCAGACUAAUUAUUCUCAAUUAUUACACUCUGGUGAAUGAGCACAUAGACAAAAACAAUUGAACGGUUACUUGGAACUGAUUUUCAGACAGUGUGCUUUUUUUUUUGGAAGGAGUGGGGAUGUGGAAUGUUUCAUCACACUCAAAAGCUUGUUCUUGUUUUUGCAGCUGAUGUAGGCAAUUAAAAAACCCAUUUUAACUAUUUGUAACAAUAGCUCUAUGAUUCUUGUGAAAGUAGUUCACGGGCUAAGAAUAAAUGGCCAUCAGGUGUGCAACAAUGCCCUCCAAUGCACAGAGAACCAAUUUCAUGAUCAUUCAGUGCUUGUGUUCCCGUUACAAAGUUGAUCCAUUGGUAUAGAUUUUCAUCUUGUAAAUGGAAAGGAUGUGUACUGUGUAAAGUUUGUCUUCUGGAAAUAAGGAACAUACACAAGGCUUAUACAAAUAGAAGGCAAUGCCUCCUGCAAUUUGUUUUCAUUUAUAGUUUGGAUUUCCUUCUAACAACCACUUCAAAUGUUCUAGAUCACUAUAUGCAGAAUGUUUUAUUUUUAAGAGUAAUUUUUUUUCUCAAGUUGUUUUCAAAGUUAUUUUACUUACUUUUGAUUGUUAUUUACUGGAUGAGGAAAUCCAUUUGAGCCAUCUUGUAUCUUCUAUUUUGGCAUGAUCAAGUAGUUAAAACCAGUUUUUAAAUGAUUCAAGGAUUUUUGCUUCCAUCAUAUUGGUAAAUUGUGUAUUAAAUAGCCUCUGACAAAAUAAACACUUUUUCCAGUCCGAA